rnacentral:lncRNA from 1 species
UUCGUUAACACUGAGAAGAAUAUUGACAAGUGUCCACUGUGAAUGUUGCUGCAGCAAAUUAACCUUCUAUUCACUUGUAAUAAAUUGAUACAUUUAAUAUAAGAUCAUUUGAUAAAUUAAAAUGUAACUUUUGCAUUAGACAAAAGCAACAUUAACACCAACAAAGGCUCCAGUCGGGCUUGAUAUCAAAUGAGAUGUUGGGAGGAGUGAUUGUUGCUCAUGUUUCCGCAUUCCCGAGUCUUUGUUCCGGCGCAGCUCGCUGAGGGCCGGCGCUGGUUCAGGUGCCACCUUCUAUAAAAGGAGCAGCAGGUGAGAGCUGCCGAUGCGGAGUUGCUGCCCAGUUCGCUGAGAGUUCAUCGCUCUCACUCUCAAAGGUUUGGACCCAUUUGAAAUCAGAACAUCUCAACUUUGUCUCCAGCUUCAGGAGCUGAAGUUCUGAGAUGUUUCGUCACGGUAAAUGAGUCAGUUAAACCCUUUUUCCUGAAAUGUAAAUCCAGUAUUUGACAUUAAAUUUGGACUUAAUUCAGGUGGGGGCUGUGGCCAAGGGGGCCACGGGGGCCACGGGUGCCACGGGGGCCACGGCCAUGGGGGCCACGGCCAUGGGGGCCACGGGGGCCACGGGUGCGGGUCUGGACCUGGACCUGGACACUGCCAUGGGGGACCCAAACGCAGGAGAAGGAACAAGAGAGGCCACAAGCACAGGAAGUGUCACAAGAAGGGGAAGGACUGUCAUGGGUCAUCCAGCAGCUCCUGCAGCAGCAGCAGCGACUCAGACUAGAUGAAGCCCGGUUGAAGGGAGCAGAACCAGAACACCUGGACGCCUUCCUUCAUCUGCUGACCUUUUUCUUCAUUUUGUCCUAAAAGCCCAUAACAUGUUCUUGGUCCAAAAUCUGUAAAACAUUCAUUUUAUCUGAUUGUGUAUGACCUUGGAUUAAACGAGAGAUUCAAAAUUGUGUUUCUUCUUUGACUCCCUAAAUAUCCGAGCAAAAGAAGUUAAUUUUUUUUAAAUUUUAUUGGGUGAAUUGACGUGAUAAGUUGUGGGUGUGGUUCUUACUUCGACCACUAGAUGGACAUAAAGAGGCGCGUGUUUUAAAGAGUGUUGACCAGAAUCCAUCAGCGAUCAGACAUAAAUCGGAAUAAAUCUGAUCAGAUUAUGUGAUUCUGCCUGGAUGAAAUGUUGGCUGACAGGUUUGUCCAUCCAUCCAUCCAUCCAUUCUCUACCGCUUAUCCGGGUCGGGUCGCGGGGGUAGCAGCCUAAGGAGAGAAGCCCAGACUUCCCUCUCCCCAGCCACCUCCUCCAGCUCAUCCGGAGGGAUCCCCAGGCGUUCCCAGGCCAGUCGAGAGACAUAGUCUCUCCAACGUGUCCUGGGUCUCCCCGGGGGUCUCCUACCGGAGGGACAUGCCCUGAACACCUCACCAGGGAGGCGU